UUCCAGCCUUUCUCUUCNGCCGCCGCCGGGGAAGCGCAGCUCGGACAGGGCGCUGUCGUUGGCCAGCAGCGGCAGCAGCGGAUUGGCGCUGGCGCAGGCGCCGCCGCUGCGGGCGCAGAACUGCUCGUAGUCGAGUUCGCGCACCGCGCCGUGCAGCAGCAGCACUUCGUCCCGCGCCGGCCGGUCGAGCACCGAGGCGCUGUCCCUCUCCGCCACGGCGAUGAGCGCGGCGUAGGCGCCCUCCGUGGGCAGCCGCUCGGCAGAGAAGCGCUCCGAAUCGUUGGUGGGGAAGUACCGCCGCACGAAGUCGCGCUCGGCCUUGGCGGGCCCGCCCGUCGGCGUGAACUGGCCCUCGAUGUCGUUCGUCUGCAAGCCCGGCAGGAAGACGAAGCCGGCGCCCAGCCCGGCCGACAGCAGCAGCGGCAGCAGCACGAAGGGCCAGGGGCAGGCGGCCACGACGCGCCCCAGCGCUUCGAAGAGCCGCGUCAGGGGCCGCUCCACGCAGUUGGUGUUGCUGCAGGAGCAGCGCUCCCGGGGGAACCGCGGCUGCCCCAUGGCCGAGGCGGCGGCAGCUCGUCCCCGCAGGCGCACCUCACGCCGGAUCUCGGCCUUUCGCCACGCGGGAGGAGAACCGCCGUUCCCUGCCGCGUAGCGGAGGCACUGAGCGCUCCUCAGCCGCGCCGCUGCAGGCCGUCCCCUUGCCGGCUAGUGGCCGCGCCCUCCGCCCUUCCCGCUCUCUCACCGCUCUCUCCGGCGCACCCUCAGGCACGCAGGUGGGGCCGCGGGGCUGCCCGUUCCGCGCCCGGGGUCGGGUGUCGGAUGGGUGCCCCGCUGCCAGGCACGGCCGUGGCUGAGGAGGGGCGGUCCGCCCGUGGCCUCUCGCAGCGCGUGGCGAUGGCGCCUCGAAGCAUAACGCUUCUCCGAGCCAAAAGCAGUGCGUGGCUUUCGGUGCAAGUGAGGAGCCGAACAAACUCACUGAGGGGGCUGAGGAGUGUAGGGUGUGCACAGGGGAAGAAUAACGAGCGGAGGACGUGGGAAGAGCAGCAAAUUGGGCUGGCAUGGUUGGCUCCGAAGAACUUAUGUGUAGCUCAUGGCUGGGAGUCCAGGUUGCUAUGGCUGAGCGCUGUAAAAAAGUUGGGGUUUGAUUUUUACGGUUAUAGGAGUAGUCUGGAAAUGUAA
rnacentral:lncRNA from 1 species